CGCUCCGGUGGCUUAGUGGUUAGAGCAUCCGCCUCGGAUGCGGGAGGUCGUAAGUUCGAAACCCCGGCCGA